rnacentral:rRNA from 1 species
AGGGCACCACCAGGAGUGGAGCCUGCGGCUUAAUUUGACUCAACACGGGAAAACUCACCCGGUCCGGACAUUAUAAGGAUUGACAGAUUGAGAGCUCUUUCUUGAUUUAAUGGGUGGUGGUGCAUGGCCGUUCUUAGUUGGUGGAGCGAUUUGUCUGGUUAAUUCCGAUAACGAACGAGACUCUAGCCUACUAAAUAGACUACCGUUCCUUUGUGACGGUAGGACUUCCUAGAGGGACAGGCGGCGACUCAGCCGCACGAAACAGAGCAAUAACAGGUCUGUGAUGCCCUUAGAUGUCCGGGGCCGCACGCGCGCUACACUGAAGUGAUCAGCGUGCAUCAAUAACCCUCUCUGUCAAGAGUGGGUAACCCAUUGAACCUUCUUCGUGAUUGGGAUAGGGCAUUGUAAUUAUUGCCCUUGAACGAGGAAUUCCCAGUAAGCGCGAGUCAUAAGCUUGCGUUGAUUACGUCCCUGCCCUUUGUACACACCGCCCGUCGCUACUACCGAUUGAAUGAUUUA